GAGAUCCCUCUUUUGUGGAAUCUUUCCUGCAAACCGAGAUCUUUGGAUACAGAAACUACAGGCAAGAAGACUCCAGUAAAGACAAGGCACAUAGUCAUGAAUAAAGGAAGACUUCAACAGUAACAGCAAAAUUAAAGUUAUGUGCCCUCAUGGUGGCUGCUUUCAGGCUGGUGUCCUCACUAAGAAAUCAGGUUUCUCUUGACUCUAAAGCUCCUGGGGACUUGCAUGAACACUUGGCUGUUUUGACUGCAGCAAUCACGAAUGGACAGAACUGGUGCAAAUACUGUAGCUUUGGAUGCUGAAUGUGGAAACUGAUGGAAACAAGGCUUUGCCAAGUGGUGAAACAU